CUGGUUGAUCCUGCCGGACCUGACUGCUAUCGGAUCGAUACUAAGCCAUGCGAGUCUUUGUAGCAAUACAAGGCAGACGGCUCAGUAACGCGUAGCCAACCUACCCUAUGGACGGGGAUAACCUCGGGAAACUGAGUAUAAUGCCCGAUAGAACAUUAUGCCUGGAAUGGUUUAUGUUCCAAAUGAUUUAUCGCCGUAGGAUGGGACUGCGGCCUAUCAGUUUGUUGGUGAGGUAAUGGCCCACCAAGACUAUUACAGGUACGGGCUCUGAGAGGAGUGGCCCGGAGAUGGGUACUGAGACACGGACCCAGGCCCUAUGGGGCGCAGCAGGCGAGAAAACUUUGCAAUGUGCGAAAGCACGACAAGGUUAAUCCGAGUGGUUUCUGCUAAAGGAACCUUUUGUUAGUUUUAGAAACACUAACGAAUAAGGGGUGGGCAAGUUCUGGUGUCAGCCGCCGCGGUAAAACCAGCACCUCAAGUGGUCAGGAUGGUUAUUGGGCCUAAAGCAUCCGUAGCCUGCUCUGUAAGUUUUCGGUUAAAUCUGUACGCUCAACGUACAGGCUGCCGGGAAUACUGCAGAGCUAGGGAGUGGGAGAGGUAGACGGUACUCGGGAGGAAGUGGUAAAAUGCUUUGAUCUCUCGAUGACCACCUGUGGCGAAGGCGGUCUACCAGAACACGUCCGACGGUGAGGGAUGAAAGCUGGGGGAGCAAACCGGAUUAGAUACCCGGGUAGUCCCAGCUGUAAACUAUGCAAACUCAGUGAUGCAUUGGCUUGUGGCCAAUGCAGUGUUGCAGGGAAGCCGUUAAGUUUGCCGCCUGGGAAGUACGUACGCAAGUAUGAAACUUAAAGGAAUUGGCGGGGGAGCACCACAAGGGGUGAAGCCUGCGGUUCAAUUGGAGUCAACGCCGG
rnacentral:rRNA from 1 species